rnacentral:piRNA from 1 species
GGUACUGUAAGCCAGAUAGAAACCUGU